rnacentral:lncRNA from 1 species
AUGCUGUGUUCCAAGGUUUCCAAGGAACUGGCUCAUGAGUAUGGAGGGCCACAACUGUUUUAAUAAAAGGUAUGGUGUACACAGUAUUUAUGGUAUUUGUAAUUGUCUUGCCCAAGGCCAAAAAAAAUAUGCGGGUUUCCGGUUUCUUCUUAUAAAAACUUAGGUAGGGUAGGUCGGUUUUAAUUUUUUUUAAACUUUUUUUUAAAUUUUCCAAACAAAUAAACGCCAUUUUGUUUAGUCAGUGCUUUCACAUCCAAAUUAGAUAAAUUCCCCUAAUAUUGCCUCAAAUUUCAAUUUUCCACGAACUUUUUCCUCUAAGUGGAAACACUUACAAGCAUGAUCCAGUAAAAAAGUUUAGGGUCGGGAUUUCGACGUCCAAAAGGUAGGUAGGGUCGGGAAACCGGAAGCCCACAUAUUUUUUUUGGCCCAAUAGAUAUAUUUUAAAACCUUAUACCGGUAACUCCUGUGGUAUCUGGAUUCUGGGAAUCACUUUACCGUACUUUACUCUGUCAAUUUUUCAAUAAUUAAUUACCAGGCGAUAUAUGUUGGGGGGUCACAAAACUCCCAACACAGCAACGUCUAUAGAGUGGUAUCACUUUAGUUUUGCUCACACCAGAGAAUCGUCCUAUAUAUGACUAAAGCUAGACAAUUGUACUGUACUUGUACAUAGCACAUGUCUCAAAAUUUGAUUUAAAGACUUUUGAGCAUAGUAUAGAAAGAGUAUAAUAUGCAGCUAAUUCUUAUGAUGUUGUCACAAGCAAUGCUGUAUUGCAGUAGUCAAAUAUCACAUGCCAGCAAUAUUAUCUGCAUUUGCUUGCAUUUUGUCAAAAAUAUUUGCGUUUUGGAUUGUAGAAUUGACUAUUGCAUGUGACAACCUUUGCAUGUGCACUGUAUUUAAAGAAUGGUCCUUAAAAUGAUUUUUUCUGUGUUGGUGUUAUGUACUCAGGUGAAUAUGAUGUUUGUGCAAUGAUACUCUGAGUGUAUAACCACACCCGGGAAGUUUGAAAAAUAGACCUGGCCAGGAUGGGAAUCAAAGCUACAACCUUAGAAUGCCCAAUGCUUUGCCAACUGAGCUAUCAUGAUUACUAGAUUGCAUUGAUAUCGAAAGAACUAGAUUCAGUUCUGAAAUAUCACAUACUCGAACCAACUUGACUGCGUAGCUCAGUUGGCAGAGCAUUGGGCUAGUAUUCCAAGGAUCAUCUAGGUUCGAUUCCAACCGAGGCCGGGCAUAUUUUUCAAGCUUACCCGGUGUGGAUAUACACUCAGAGUGACAUCACAAGCAUCAUAUUCACCUGAAUACAUUACACAAACACAGAAAAAAUCAUGAUUAUUAGAUUGCAUUGUUAUCGAAGUAACUAGGCUCAUUUCCGAAAAUCACAUACUGUAGUGUUACUCGAACCGACCUGACUGCGUAACUCAGUUGGCAGAGCAUUGGGCUAGUAUUCCAAGGGUCAUAGGUUCGAUUCCCACUGUGGUCAGGCAUAUUUUUUUCAAGCUUGCUUGGUGUGGAUAUACACUCAGAGUAACAUCACAAACAUCAUGGUUUUUAAAAUGUUUACGCGGUUUUUACAUAUGAUUUGGUACAAGUUCUCGUGAACAUCCAGAACAAAUUAUUUUGCGUGUUUAAAUUUUCCACCAACAUUAACACACAGCAAGGGAUUAAAGACUUUGAAGAUCUGUUAACAGCUUUAGCAUUAAUUUACACAGUAUAACCAAUUUUUUAAGAUUCGAGGUUUGAACUUAGAACACUGCAUUUAAUUUUGAUAGGCAUUAAUUUAGCUUUGUAUUUCAAGGGGGUCGCUCAAUCUAAAACAUCCGUCUUUGGGUGUUUGUGACAUUUGUGACACUCUAUUUGAAAGUUACCUUUUGCUUUGUCUCCCCGAGCAAUGUAUAAAUUUAAAUACAUGCAGUAAAUGACAUUUUUAUGCUCAUUGCUUGUAAUGCCUCGAUAACUUCGUGGAUGAAUCUGUAAGGCUUCCAAAGUCGGAUUUCUUGGUGAGCAAAGUUGUGGCAUGCAUAAGCAGUCCACCUAACACCCCCCCCCAAUUACCUACUGUAUGUCGCCUGCGACGAAAAGGGAAAUCGUGUGUAAAAUGAUUAUGAAGAAGAAUUUAAAGAACUUUCAGAGUCUGAACAACGCGCAUACGGUGGAAGGAAAAGUCAUCCAGGCAAUGUCAUCCAAUCAUCAAAUCAACAUUUGAUACAAAAUUGUACUGUGUGAACUCAAUAGUCAACAUUUGUACUAUAAGUUUUCCAAGAACUUGUAGUAGUGUCAAGCUUAUUUGUUAUUAUUUUGUAUCUUUCUUUAGAGACUUGCACGCAGGCUGAAGCACGUGGGAAAGGCAAAUUGGGGUGCCCAGAAAACUGCAAGAGUGUUCGAUGUUAUGAGGGCAGGCUACUGUACAUGUCAUCAGAAGAAAGCGAGGUCGACGAAACAACAAAAAGGAUCAUGCGUUACAACGUUCGUAGGCUACCCUGGGAGAGUCCAUCUCUAUACGAAGGGCAAAGAAAAAGUUAGACAGGCUCCACACCUUGUCUUUGUCAGAACUGGUACGGAGCAGAAUUGUUCCUCGCGAGGAUGGACAGCCCUCCAUUCGACCUAAGCCAAACGACUUCCCGGAGUGGGCAGCUAAGAACGAGGAUGAUAAUGUUGUUGAUGAGAGUGCCCAGUCAUUAUCCCUAGUGGCUCUUCGCUGAAUGACUCUGUUAAUGACAUUUUAAAUGAUCAUGACUCUGAUUGCUAUAGUUUUUCAGUAUAGUAAAGACCCACGAUAUAUCACCCAAAGUUUUCCAUGUUCUAAUGUAUUAAGAGUGCUUUAUAUAUUUGUUGUGAACCUGCAUGGCUUCUUAAACAGGUUCAUACAAAAUUCUAAAUAGAAAUGUUAGACUGAAAGGUUUUUAUUCGUGGGUUUUCAUUCUGCACGUGAUAAUUUGAUAAUCAAAUUUAUGAGUUUGCGUAAUUUACACUGUUUAUACGAUAUGCAUUUAUUCUGCAUGGCAGAU